GGGGGUGUAGCUCAGUGGUAAAGUUCAUGUCUAAUAUACACAUAAGGAUCUAGGUUUGAUCCCUAGCACCACAC
rnacentral:tRNA from 1 species